rnacentral:rRNA from 1 species
AACGAACGCUGGCGGCAGGCUUAACACAUGCAAGUCGAACGCCCCGCAAGGGGAGUGGCAGACGGGUGAGUAACACGUGGGAACGUGCCCUUCGCUUCGGGAUAGCCUCGGGAAACUGGGAGUAAUACCGAAUACGCCGUAUUGGGAAAGAUUUAUCGGCGAAGGAUCGGCCCGCGUUGGAUUAGCUAGUUGGCGGUGUAAUGGACCACCAAGGCUACGAUCCAUAGCUGGUCUGAGAGGACGACCAGCCACACUGGGACUGAGACACGGCCCAGACUCCUACGGGAGGCAGCAGUGGGGAAUCUUGGACAAUGGGCGCAAGCCUGAUCCAGCCAUGCCGCGUGAGUGAAGAAGGCCUUAGGGUUGUAAAACUCUUUCGCCGGUGAAGAUAAUGACGGUAACCGGAGAAGAAGCCCCGGCUAAACUUCGUGCCAGCAG